AGUAAUGCGUAGGAAUCUGCCUCAUUGAGUGGGAUAGCCUAGGGAAACUUAGGGUAAUACCGCAUAAGCCCUAAGGGGGAAAGCAGGGGACCGAAAGGCCUUGCGCGAUGAGAUGAGCCUACGUCGGAUUAGCUAGUUGGUGGGGUAAAGGCCUACCAAGGCGAUGAUCCGUAGCUGGUCUGAGAGGACGACCAGCCACACUGGGACUGAGACACGGCCCAGACUCC
rnacentral:rRNA from 1 species